GUGAUCUGAGGCAAUACGUAUUUGGAGAGAGUAGUUACCAAGUCAAGAAGCAGCUUUACGUCGUGAGUUAACACAAAAAAGCAUUGGAAAUGAUAGCACACAAACUCUGAAAGAAGCUGGAUGUUCGUUAAAAAUACCGCUUCACAAGUUGCUACAGAAUUAAGAUGGUAUAAGCAUUAUAGCUUACAAGAUCAAUACGUCAGGCAAAGAAGAAGGUUUUGGUCAGUCUAUUUUACACUACGGUCAAUUAGUAUUUCAUGCUUCUCCAUAUAGUCUUCAGGAUGUAUUUAGCUGUAUGGUAACAGCUAAAUUUAUACAUGUACUUAAAAAAGAUGUAUUUCGAGCUCUUUGUAAAUUAUCUAUGAAACCUCUACCAGAUGGAACAUCUGAUCCCAAAUCACAUGAAUUGAGAUCUAAAAUAUUAUCGUUACAAUUACUAUUAGGCAUUUUACAAAAUGCUGGACCAAUCUUACGAUAAAAUAAAAUGUUUGUUAUUACAAUUAAACAAUACUUGUGUGUUGCAUUAUCUAAAAAUGGUGUAUCAUCUCUGAGAAUGAUCAGAGAUUCAACUGGACAAUAAUACGAACAGUCGUAGCAGAAGAACUACUUUAGUAGAAAUCUUUAUAGUACACUGCAAUUUUCUUUCUCUUUUUCAAUAAAAAAAAAUUAUAUAGUGUGGA